rnacentral:rRNA from 1 species
UACGUAGGGUGCGAGCGUUAAUCGGAAUUACUGGGCGUAAAGCGUGCGCAGGCGGUUCGUGAUGUCUGAUGUGAAAGCCCCGGGCUUAACCUGGGAAUGGCAUUGGAAACUAGCGGGCUGGAGUGUGGCAGAGGGGGGUGGAAUUCCACGUGUAGCAGUGAAAUGCGUAGAGAUGUGGAGGAACACCGAUGGCGAAGGCAGCCCCCUGGGCUAACACUGACGCUGAGACGCGAAAGCGUGGGGAGCGAACAGG